rnacentral:rRNA from 1 species
GACGAACGCUGGCGGCGUGCUUAACACAUGCAAGUCGAACGGAAAGGCCCUGCUUUUGUGGGGUGCUCGAGUGGCGAACGGGUGAGUAACACGUGAGUAACCUGCCCUUGACUUUGGGAUAACUUCAGGAAACUGGGGCUAAUACCGGAUAGGAGCUCCUGCUGCAUGGUGGGGGUUGGAAAGUUUCGGCGGUUGGGGAUGGACUCGCGGCUUAUCAGCUUGUUGGUGGGGUAGUGGCUUACCAAGGCUUUGACGGGUAGCCGGCCUGAGAGGGUGACCGGCGACAUUGGGACUGAGAUACGGCCCAGACUCCUACGGGAGGCAGCAGUGGGGAAUAUUGCACAAUGGGCGGAAGCCUGAUGCAGCAACGCCGCGUGCGGGAUGACGGCCUUCGGGUUGUGAACCGCUUUCGCCUGUGACGAAGCGUGAGUGACGGUAAUGGGUAAAGAAGCACCGGCUAACUACGUG